GUCAUGUGGACGGAAAGCCUUUGCCUGUGACAUCCAUUGCAGGGGAUGAUCAAGAAAAAACGAGAGUGUGAUUUAAAGCAAACUUUGAUACAAGGGAUUUAUGUGAGAAUUAAAAUAACCCAUAGAACUGGAGACAACCACCUUUCGAUAUAGAAAAAAGGAUGAGAAAAUCCAUGGAUUUUGAUGAAUCCUUCAAAAUCAAAGAUUUGACACCAGCCCAGUAGGUGGGAUUUUGUGAAAUACCUC
rnacentral:misc_RNA from 1 species